rnacentral:rRNA from 1 species
CCGAGUUGUAAUUUGCAGAGGAUGCUUCGGGUUCGGCUCCGGUCUAAGUUCCUUGGAACAGGACGUCAUAGAGGGUGAGAAUCCCGUAUGUGACCGGCCGCCACGCCCGUGUGAAGCUCCUUCGACGAGUCGAGUUGUUUGGGAAUGCAGCUCAAAAUGGGUGGUAAAUUUCAUCUAAAGCUAAAUAUUGGCCAGAGACCGAUAGCGCACAAGUAGAGUGAUCGAAAGAUGAAAAGCACUUUGGAAAGAGAGUCAAACAGUACGUGAAAUUGUUGAAAGGGAAGCGCUUGCAACCAGACUUGCCCGCGGGUGAUCAGCCGGUAUUCUUACCGGUGCACUCGCCCGUGGUCAGGCCAGCAUCGGUUUGGGCGGCUGGAUAAAGUCCACCGGAAUGUAGCUCCUCUCGGGGAGUGUUAUAGCCGGAGGUGCCAUGCAGCCCGCCCGGACCGAGGACCGCGCUUCGGCUAGGAUGCUGGCGUAAUGGUUGUAAGCGACCCGUCUUGAAACACGGACCAAGGAGUCUAACAUCUAUGCGAGUGUUUGGGUGUCAAACCCAUGCGCGUAAUGAAAGUGAACGGAGGUGGGAACCCUGAAGGGUGCACCAUCGACCGAUCCUGAUGUCUUCGGAUGGAUUUGAGUAAGAGCAUAGCUGUUGGGACCCGAAAGAUGGUGAACUAUGCCUGAAUAGGGUGAAGCCAGAGGAAACUCUGGUGGAGGCUCGCAGCGGUUCUGACGUGCAAAUCGAUCGUCAAAUUUGGGUAUA